AACGGAGUAGGCGGCGAAGCGUUAAGUGCUGAUGGAACGGAAUGUGAACAUCAGACGAAAAUAAGGCAACUUAUUGCGGUUUCGCUGUCGCAUUCGCCGCA
rnacentral:ncRNA from 2 species